rnacentral:rRNA from 1 species
GAUGAACGCUAGCGGCAGGCCUAACACAUGCAAGUCGAGGGAGAAGCCCUUCGGGGCAGAAACCGGCGCACGGGUGCGUAACGCGUAUGCAACCUACCUUUCACAGGGGGAUAGCCCGAAGAAAUUUGGAUUAAUACCCCAUAAUAUUGUUGGAUGGCAUCAUCUGACAAUUAAAGCUAAGGUGGUGGAAGAUGGGCAUGCGUCCUAUUAGCUAGUUGGAGUGGUAACGGCACCCCAAGGCUACGAUAGGUAGGGGUCCUGAGAGGGUGAUCCCCCACACUGGUACUGAGACAGGGACCAGACUCCUACGGGAGGCAGCAGUGAGGAAUAUUGGUCAAUGGUCGGAAGACUGAACCAGCCAUGCCGCGUGCAGGAAGAAUGCCUUAUGGGUUGUAAACUGCUUUUAUAUGGGAAGAAUAAAGGUGUACGUGUACA